rnacentral:lncRNA from 1 species
GUUCUCUCUCAUUUUGUUAGCAUCCUUUUCUGGGUCUUUUUAAAGUUUGAAAUUCAGUGGAAAUUUUAUAAAGGCUAGCCUGUGUUAUUUAGUGGAGAAUGAUAGGUUUGAUGUAGUUAACAUUCACAGCAAGUUGGGUCUGGCUACACUCUUAGCACAGUGGUGGGAAACCUAUGGUACACUUUUUUUUUUUAAGACAAAAGAUAAAUGUUUGGGCCGGAGAUUUAGCUCAGUGGUUCCGCCGCCUGCCUCACAAGCCCAAGGUCCUGAGUUCGAUCCCCGGUACCCCCCCCCCCAAAAACCCCCCAGAAGAUGUUAAUGUGGGAGUUUUUUUCUAAACUAAAUCCCUGGUAUUCAGGCUUAAUUGCAGUGUUGGCAUUUCUCAGUAAAUAAGUGGGUUUGGGUUCCAGUUUGGGCACUUUCUAAAAGGUUUGUCAUUACUGCUCUAGCACAUAAAACAAAGUCUGUUUCCUUGUGUUAUAGGGCAGCUAUUACAGAAUUUUCAGAAGUCCUAUGUAGUUCCAAAAUGCGCAGUAUGUGGCUAACUGCUUAAUAGCACAUUGUCUAAAGGAUGCAAGACUUUGCUACACUGAAAUUUACCCUUCUUGAAUUUCCCUUGUGGACUCACUUGUGAAGGUUAGAAUAGGAAAGGCUUUUAAAGCCAGAAUUGAGUUUUUAACCUGCCCAUCUGUCUAAUACCUUCUGUGGUGGUUAUGAUGACUAAAACAACUCUUAAGGACCGGAUUAGUUUAAUACUAAGCUUAGUUCACAUAUAGGUAACAGUAACUCAUACUUAGUGAAAGGACACAUCCCUAAAAGUGGAUAUUUUCGUAGGCUUCUAUUUCUCAAAGCAAUCUCUACUUCACUACUAUAGGCAUUAGAAAAGCUGUAUCUGAAAGCAAGGUCUUCAUAGCAAAGCUUCUCAAAAAAAAAGCCACAUGCAUUGGUACUUAAGUAUUUAUUGAGACAAAUACAAACUGGUGGCAUCCAAAUUAAAAACAAAAUGGUGAACUGUAUUUGUAAGUGGGCCAUCAGAUACUGUUUUGCAGGUCCAGGGUCCUACAGUGAGCUGUAAGGAAAUAUGCACAUAUUUCACCCAUACCAGCACAGGCUGUAAGGACUUUGGCGCUUUUGGUAUUGGCGGGGGCGGGUGGCAAGAAACUGAACUACUUGUCAGGUUAAGGGAAUACUGUUGUCUAUGCAGAGUCUUUAAAACAGCAACAAAUACAGAGUCAAAACAUGUAACACUCCAUCCUCCUUCAAAAGCUCUUUAUUCCUAUGUAGCUAAUAAUUUAAAAUUUUCAACUUUCACUUUGCUGGAAAUACUUGGCAUAAGCAAAACACUCAAAACCCUUUCAAUUACUAGUUAAAAUAAAUUUUACCAUAAUUUAAUACAUUAAAAACACUGAAGACUUGUUUUUGUGGUUUAAACAAAGUGACUGACCCUCAAGUAGAAUGCCUUUUUAAAGAUUCCUAAAUACCUGGGUGAACAACUGCUGAACCAAUCCAGAGAAGUAGUUAGGCUAUUCUUUAUAAUACUGGCAAUUGAUGGCUUAUUAUCCAUGUGUUGGCUUUAUUUCUGUGGUCUCAUUAGCAGCCCAAAAGCAAGGCUUGCAGUCACUCAAAACUUACCUUCCGGGGGCCCACCUUCUGGCUUCAACAUGAUUAACUGAUAUGCCAGACUCCUCAAGGUGGACUGGCCACUUCAGUGUACAUUUAGAGAUGCAGUUAGAUUUCUGAGUUGCCCAAGUUCACUUCUAGUCAUUUAUUAACUGAAUUGAUAAUACAGCAAUAAGACAACAUAAUUUCUCAUCAUUGUAUCAGUCCUAAGAUUUUAGCUUAGGACAUGCUUACUGAAAUUGUGUUCUCUGCUCAAGUCCUAAUACUUAUUGCACUGAUUGUUUUAUUAUGAAUACAACUUUCUUUUGCCUUUUAAAAAGGCUAGGGCUUCAACAUGAGAAUUACUAUACGUAGAAGAUCACUUUCUAAAAGUAAAAUAAAGUAGAAAAGUGUCUUCAAAAGGAGAAGUUCCCCAAGAGAAAAAGGGCAGCAAGGCCACAUUUCCUUUUCCUUCAUUGUUUAGUCCUGUUUUCUAAUUUUGGGAACCAAGUGCUGAAUUCAUAAAUAGAAACAGACUUAGGCUUUUGUUGUGAAGGCAAAGUAAUACUUAAAACACAUAAUCUUUUACAGGGCUAUAUAACUGAAUCCACAGUUGGAUCUAGGUUUUAAUCUCAACUUACAUAUAGCAAAUCAUAAUACUUUAUGUAUAACAUUAAACAGGACCCUUUUUUUUUCCUGUAACCCAGGAUAGGCAACUAUGUAUUUUAUUUGAGCAGAAAUUUCAGAAUUUCAAAGAUGUACUACUCUAGAGCUUUAGGACUAAAUGAUGUUUCAACUUGAAUUCCUCAGUGGCAAGGUAGUACAUAAUGCUAAUGUGCAGAUUAAGUGCUAAGUUUAUAAUAUUUCCCAAUUUUUUUGUAUCGGGGAUCAAACUCAGGACCCUGCGCUUGUGAGGCAGGCAGCGGCACCACCGAACUAAACCCCUGGCCCUCCGAAUUUUUAAUAGAAUUAAAAGAUUUUUUGUUUUUUUACUGGGAAGCACCGUAAAACUAAAUUUUCCCAGAGGCUUCAAGUGAAUGAUCUAUUUAGUACUCUGAUAUAUUUAACUGAUAAGCUUUUGGUAAAGUUGGACUUAAUAUAAAAUUAUUUUG